ACCACUCGGGCUUCUCCUAGGAGACGCGGACGACAGGGGGCGGGGGUCGUCUACGCGGGGCCACGCAGGCGCCGCUUUACGGCAGGAGAGGGCGUGGGGCGCAGUCGAGUCCCGCCGGCCCCCGCGCGAAGUUCAGAGCUGACCGCGUUUUUCCCGCUGGAGCGUGGCCUCAGCCAGAGGAGGCAGAGCGGAAGGAAAGGAGGAAGAGGGAAACCGGGGACGUCGGUCAUCUCCAGGCGCUGGUGUUCUGGGUCACAGUUUGGUAAGAAGAUCAAAGGGCACGAUCAACAGCUCGUGCACUGCCUUGGUGUGGACCCAGAGUUCAAGCACAGACGAAGAUCAGACACUGACUUCACACUUCUGAUAGUGUCUGGCUAGCACCGCGUCCAGGUAUACUCAGUCGCUGUAAUUGUUCAUCGUGAUGAUCAGGAGAGCUCUGCCGGUGCGAUUCAAAUAUCAACCUAUUUGGACCACCUCCACUGCGUCCACAGGCAGGUGGAGGGCCAUCCCCACCACCAGCUCUACCAGUGCAACCUCGACCCACAGGAGUUGCUCCUCGUCCUCCAACUCCGUUACCUCUACUAAGUGGUAUACCAUAUUCACCACCAUUACCUUUGUUUGGGGAUCUCCUGGUUUAACUUAUGAAGCAGAAAUAUAAACCUGACCUCCAUGAAA